rnacentral:rRNA from 1 species
GACAGAGGGUGCGAGCGUUAAUCGGAAUUACUGGGCGUAAAGCGCGCGUAGGCGGUUUGAUAAGCUGGAUGUGAAAUCCCCGGGCUCAACCUGGGAAUUGCAUCCAGAACUGUCUGACUAGAGUACAGUAGAGGUGAGUGGAAUUUCCUGUGUAGCGGUGAAAUGCGUAGAUAUAGGAAGGAACACCAGUGGCGAAGGCGGCUCACUGGCUCGAUACUGACGCUGAGGUGCGAAAGUGUGGGGAGCAAACAGGAUUAGAUACCCGCGUAGUCC